GUCAGCAAAGCCUUUGUAACAUUCACUAAGUUUGAUAGUCCUUCUUUCAUCCAUUUCUUGAAGUUGCUUGUAAAUCUGAGGAAUGACAAUGUAGUAGUGUUUGUGCUGUUCACCAUUAAAAUUCUGUAGCUGUGCAGCAUAUUCAUUUUUGUUUUCAUCAGCCAUAUGUGUACGCAGGUUUAACUGUUGCUUUGCCUUUUCAACAUCAGCCUUUGUCGCAUUAGUGUCAUUGUCCAGUCUUUCAUAGCUUUGCUGCGCCUUCUCUGCCUCUCUGCAUUCUCUCUCAAAUUUCUUUUUACUGUUAUCCAUCUGUUUCCAGCACAUGUCCAGAUACUGUUGAGCCUUUCGUCCUUCCUGAAGAUGCAUUUUUCUCUCAGUUUUUAGAUCAUGUGAGUAUCUCAUUAAUUCUCCAUAGACUCUGUGUCCCAUUUCUUCUGCAACUACUUCACGUUGUCCUGCAUAGUCAUUCAGCUCGUUAAGGAUGUUAAAAAAGGCAAUACAUGAAGUAAACCUGGGUUCCUCAUCUUUGGAUGAACGUUUAGGACAGUACUUCUUAACCAGAUUUCUCAGUUGUUUUGCAUAGUUUUGCUCAAUUUCUAUCCUUUCUUUUACAAAUUUUGCAUAUUUCUCCAAGAAGUCAAUGCCCCACUGUGUAUGCUUGUCUAAGUUAUCGAACUGAUCCCACAGCUCCGUGCCCCAGCUCAUGGCGGCUCCGCGGGCGGCGGCCGGGAUCGAGGUCGGGCGGCGGCGACCGGAGAGAGUCCCGCCGGGCGGCGGCGGUGCCCCGGGUCAGCGGGGAGAGGCGAGAAGCGGCGGAGCGCGGACGGCGUCGCGGCGAGCUGCGGCCCCGCCUGGCUCAGGGAGGAGAGCCGCGGAGGAGACUGGGAGAGGGGCGGGCCCGGCCGAGGCGGCGGGGGACGGCGCGGGACGGGGCGAGGCGCCGCUCCCCAGGGCGGCCCGGCGGCCGGCGCGACGCCCGGCUCCUCCCGACCUCCGCCCGCCCGCGGCGCCCGGCGGUCCCCGGAGCGCCCCUCGGCGGCGGGGAGAGGGGUCGGGGCCCGAGGACGGCCUCCCGCCGCCGGGAAGGGGCGCGAGGGCGGUGGCCGCCCGUCAGCGCGGGGAGAGCGGCGGGUGGAGGGAGGGGGCGCCUCGCGGGCAGCGCGAGCCCCGGCCUUUGUGCGCGCGGCGGCCUCGCGCCGCCCCCUGCACGGCGCUGAGUCACGGCGCGGGGCGGCGCCGCACACCUGCGGCUCUUUGCGCCCGCAUCGAUCGCGCGGUGAAUGAUAAACCCGCGCGGUGCGCCGCUGUCCCCGUGAGGGCAGCCCCGCGCUUCCCAUCCGCCACGGAGAGGGUCAAUGAUUCACACGGUUGCACGACGGCACCUGGAAAAGGAGGGGUGAUAAAUCCUCCUCGGAUAAAUUUUUUCCCCCAAGAUGGCUGUUGGAAGGAAGGCGAGGACCGAUUGAUAGCCGCCACAACUGCUCGCACAGGAAAGCAGUUUCUCCUCUUCCAGGGUGUUCUGAGGCAGUGCCCACAUCACCCCGCACCCGGGCACGCCCGUGGCACACAUAAGGUAACCCAAACCGCCUGCAAGUUGUGCUCACCUGAAAACACUGCGCUGGCUGCACUGAGGGCUCCGGCCCUGCAGCACUGCAGGACAGAACUGCUCGGUACGUCCAUGGUGGUGCACAGCGCUCAGGAAGAACAAAUCGCUUCUAAGCACUGCGUGCCUGGGCCAGUGCCGUGCUGUGCUCCCUGAUCACACACACCUGUAUGGGAGCGUUAAGGAAAAUGGCACAGGCAUUACUACAGCAGCCUUUGUGCCACACAGAAUUGUAGGGCCACAGAAUGGGGAGAGCUGAGCACGUGCAGCCCUGCAGGGAAAUGGAGAGCCAGUGGGGGCCUCCAUGGCUGCUGGGGAGGCACAUGUUUCUCCAUCUCAUUGGGACCACUUUAAUACAUCAAAUGAAGUCAGUGUGGGCCCUGUGCUGCACAGGAUAAAGGCUUUCAUAAUGACCCAACGCAGGGUUUUUUGGUUUUUUUUUUUCAUACUACAAGAUUCCAGAAAUUCAAAUGCAAAGCCUAUUUGUUAAAAGCGUGUUUCAGAGGCUGUGUAUUUGCAUUGAAAAACAACACUUCACAGCUGGUCCCUGAUUUUUGCUUGCUUUCAAGCUGCAGUUCCUCCAGACCAAGAGAUACACGUGUACACAGGUGUGCAUUCACAUUCACUUCAGCUAGGAGCCAGCAUCCCAGGUGCAGCCCUGCCCAGUGAUACUUGCCCAUACUGCUCCCCUCUCUGGCUGUGAGGGAUGCAGAGCACCCGCUGCAUCUCUGCAGGAUGCUGGCAGAAACGCUGUUGUCAGUCAUCAGGGAUUUGGACACCGUUUCCAUUAUCACAAAGUGAAACUGGCAGUAGCCCUAGACAUAACCAAACAGAUAUUAUCCUGCAGAUUUUUUCCCUCCUAGUUGCAUCUCUGAAAACGUGAAUCUUUAGGAAAAAAAAAAAAGUUUGAAAGAGUCUCACCCAAUGGACUAUAGAAAGGAAAUACAUUCAGGACAGAUUGAAGAAAUUACUGCAUGCAGCAAAGGCUCCAUGACAAAUCGCAUUGUUCUGAUAUCCUGGUACACCAUUAUCACUGUCUGGAACAUGAUAACAAUGAAGUAGAUUCCCAGCUGCAUUUAGCUGAUUUUCCCCAUCAUUGAGUAAUUACACAGGCUUUAACAGAAAACUGCCCAAUUUUAGUCUAGGCUAAACCUACAUCACUCUAUUUAUUACAACCGGUAUAUGUUUCAUUAAUCCUGUUCACCUCUCAGCAGAAGCUAGUUGGGUUUACAAGUGUACCACAGGAUGUUAUCUUGGCAGAGCCACAACCGGCAUGAUUAACUCGGGGUGGCAGGGCUCUGCCUGGCACUCCCCACAGGCGUGCAUCCUAACAGAGCAGCAGUUCAACUUCUCAUGGUCACAAAAAGCAGCAUGGCCAAAUUAUUUCCAAAUACCUCCCUUCUCAGUGUGAGGUGCCACUAAUCCUUUCCUCUGCCAGCCAAAAGUCUCUGUCAUACCAAAAUGGGAUUUUUACUCCACAAAGAAAUAUUGCAGGAGCUCAUUGUCUCUUUUUGCUUUGAAACCAGAAGAAUUUAGCUUCAUCCCUUUAUUUAUACACGCAUUUCCCUCCAUCGUCAGCACUCCAAGUGCUCUAAUUUCUACAAAUAUUAGCAUUAACAACACCUCUCUGUGGUGAGCAAAUGACCAUUAUUUCACAGCUAAGUAUUAGAGACAAAGGAACCCUGACACCUUUCCUCACAUUGCUGUACCCACAUGGUCCCCAACACAGCACCCAGCAGCUUCCAACACAUCCAUAGCCAUAUGCAUCUGGCUAGGGGCUUACUGCCAUUGCGUUCCUAUUUCAACUGUUAGGCAAAAUACUUACACUUACUAGGCUCACCCUUUUUUGAAAUUCUGAAGCAGAAAACCAGCUGAAUUAGACCACACCACCUUUGCUCCAAGGCAGAAGUAUGACUGCACUGAGUAGCACAGCCCUGGCCACAGCUUAGUGACCUUAUUCUAAAUAUUCCCCUACCUCUGAAUUUUUGUGGGAAGAACAGCACCCCCCUCCUACAUCAUUUCCAGACCGUACUGAAAUGCUCUUUUGUUUUUUUUAAUAGCAGAAGUGUAUUUUUUCUCCCCAGCCAACAAACCAAAGGCACUGCCGUGAUCAGAUAACAGGAUAAAAGGGCACAACUUACACCAGCUGUAAGCAGGAGAAAAAGAACUUCAGUCUGCUUUUAUGAAAUCCUGUGUCCGCUCUUCUUGCCAGUUAAGAGCACAUCUUUCCACGCCAUAUGUAGCAAAGGGAAAGUGGUGUCAAUCAUCAUAAACUGGCAAUGCUCCAACCACAACCAUCCUCUGAUUUUAUUCAGUGAAGAGAGACUCGUGGUAAUUCGGCAGUUUCUUUUGAUAACAAACAACUGCAGCCCAAGCUGAAGGCUGGACAAUUAUUAUAAGAACAUCAGGGAAUUCCUGUAAGUCACGAUCUUAAAAUAUUACUUUGAACUUGUUAAUGCUUGAAUUAUCUCCCUGUAUACUGCCACCACCAUGGCUGUGCUACCUUGAGAUCUCCACCUAAUGUAAGUCUUCUCCAUUCUCCCACCAACUCCACGUGCAUUUCCCUAUAUUAAAAGAAUCAAAAGAAGGUAAGUGUCUAACAGGAGGAGUUAGGGGAAUAGGAAUGGUCAGCUCUGAUCAAUAAGCUAUUUCACAAACACUACAUUAUCUACAGGCAUAAAGAUUAUUAGUGCCAAGAUAAUAACCCAAGGCAUGCAUAGCAACUUCCACCUGCAUUGAUCAGCCAGCUGCUUUCAAGCAGAGCAUAACAGAUUAAUGUCUGUACCAAUACUGAAACACAGAGUGUCUGUCACGGUAUUAAUUCAAGCUGCAGAAAAAUGAGGAGUGAAGGAUCAGCACCACAUAUUUUUAGGCUCGUUAAAAUAUUUGACAUUUCACUGAAUCACGAUCAGGAAAAUGCAUUUACAGUUGUGCAAAAGCUGCCAUAAAAUGUGAUCAUGGUCAGUACUGUGGCUCAGUAGUUAGUCUCCUUGCAGGAAUUCUAAGUCACAGCGGUGCCGGUAUCACGCCUCGCCCGGCAGCACUACCGGACUGCAGCUGAAACCAUUCCCUGAGCCCGACAGCCACCUGCCGGCAGUCAACGGAACGAGCAGGGGAACAACGCCGACCCGUUUCUGCUGUAGCUCAUCAGAUCCCGUUUCGUUGAAUCAGUAUCAGCUGCAUUAAUUUGAACCUCAGAGGGGGCAGUGAGCCCUCGGCUACCCUACGUUGCGCACCGCUGCAGCCCUCAGCUUCUCUCCUCCGCAGGACCUCCUCUCAGCGGCAGCAGCUCGCUGUCAAAGGGUCCUUCCUUGGUUACUGUAAGCCCGUGGUGGUACCUCCUUUUCUCAUGAGAAAGUGGAUGUCCACGUUGCGUAACAAAUUUACAUGAAAGUACUGGCAAAGGAUUACAAUAUGUAAGGAAACUCAGAGCAAUCUGCAUAUCCAAGAGCAUCCUCUCCUUUCCACUAUUAAUCAUUUGUAAGAACAGGAAUGUAAAUAAACCAACACUGCCACUAAUUUGCUUAAUGACGUUUCUAUUCCAUGCAGCAAUUACCUCCCUAAGUCUUUCUCUCACAUUAAUUAAAAAACAAAGACCACUACAACUGUUCAUCAUCCUUUCUCCCAAGGUGGGAAUCCAACCAGAGCCUGUCUGCCUAAAUUUAAGUGAUUCCUAAUAGACAAAAAGAGAAAUAAACCAUUCGUCACAAAAAAUUAUUUUUCUUCCUCCACAUUACAUUUUUUGAGCACUAUUUAGCUAAAUUUCAAGACCAACAUCUGCCCUUUGGACCUGAGAUGCAGAUCAGAUUAAAAGGUAGCACACUGAGCCCCAGGUAAGAGUUAUUUUUCCUUCAUCUUAAACACCAUUGGUUUUCUCCCAUAUGAAUACUGGGAGAGUAAUGACAGACUCAAUCAUUAAAAAAAAUAACAAAACAAAUCAAGUAUUAAGUUGAGUGAAGAACUAAGAACAGAACUUAAUUACAGGUUCUGUCUGGCUUCAACACAUUAUCCACAUAAAUUUGGCUUUAUAGUUUGCUAAUUAGACCAUACACAUGGCCCUGAAACCCACACAACUCAACCUCUGGAGCAGAGCCUGAGGCCAGCACAGCUCUAGCCAAUGGGCCUGGCAAAUGAGCUGCCUGUUGAAGAGGCUCACAAAUGAAUUUCCCAGCUGGGGAGCUGGCAAGGAAGAGGCCACACAGGAUCCUCCCAGUCAUAUCACUGCAACUUGUAAGCCACAUUCCCUUUUAAAUUCAAAACUACCAAAAUGGCAAGAGGUUUGCUACCUUAGCCAUUGACUUACAGUAUCAUUAUUGCACAGCCAGCUUUGAAAACUCAAAAGUACUGGAGACAGUGACAUUUAGCUCUGAUAAUAACUAUAUAUAUAAAAGGCUUUAAGUCUCAUUUUCAAAAUUUGUCUUUUUGAUUCUCUAGCAUCUAAAAUCAUGCAAACACCAAAUCAAAGGCAGAAUUCUCUGCUCGUUUUACCUUGUUGCAUAUUAGCCUGCCUAUACAUAAAGCUUGAAGAACUACUCAAAGUCUUCAACAGCCAAGUCCACAAAAAAAGCUACCAAGUCAAAAAUUGGACCAAAUUUGAGGGCUAACCUGACUCUCCUGGUUGGAAUUCGUAAGUUACAAAAUUGCAAUUGAAAGCUACAAAAGUACCUGAACACAGACCCAUAAGAAAAUAUUGCAGCACUCAGAAGCUUCGUUCUGAGUUCUUAAAGGAGAAGCACCUAAAAUGUGC
rnacentral:lncRNA from 1 species